UUUUAAGGGAUAGGGCUAAAAAAUAUUUUAGCAAAUCAAGUCCUCAACUUCUUCCAUUUCUAUGUAUAGGUCUUUACCUCACAAAAACUACUACAAGCACCAAGCUCCCUGAUGGAAAGGAGCACCGUGCAUCAAGUCACCAGGGUGGUCCAUUCAAGCUGCAGAUUUGUUUGUCAUCCUUGUACAACAGUCUCCUCCUCCACUGCCACUACAGGGAAGUGCAUCACAUGUCAGGUGAGAGUUUUGCCAUGCUCUCUCUUUUCCAUC
rnacentral:lncRNA from 1 species